CAAGAAGAGACUCAAAGGAAAGACGAUGCUCCCUGCCAUUCCUCAGUGGCUGAAGUGUGUGGUCAGUCGUCAUUCGUUGAGCCCUUACUAGUGUGCUGUAACUCAGCCCAGAUCAGCGGCCUCUGUGCUGGAGCAGAAAUGGAAGGAAAAUUCCUGGGACUUUAGUGCUUCCUGCAGCCAGCCUCAGGCUUCUUCUGCAGAUUCUGAGAUGUAAAAAUCCUACUUCUGCUCCAAAAGGAGAAAAUGUGACUUGCAAGGAGAAUGAAAGUCUCAAAGAGGUACCUCUUCUUCUUCCUUGAAAGCCAUUGUCCCUUUUAUCAAUGUGACACAGCCCUUUGAAAAUGGACUCCUUGUUCUUGGAACUUGGCAGGGAAAAAAAGGCAGGGAUUCAUUUGC